UCUCCCCGCCCUCUCGCCCGGUUGCCUCCAGGUUCUGAGAAGAUGGCGAAGGUCUCAGAGCUUUACGAUGUCACUUGGGAAGAAAUGCGAGAUAAAAUGAGAAAAUGGAGAGAAGAAAACUCACGAAAUAGUGAGCAAAUUGUGGAAGUUGGAGAGGAAUUAAUUAAUGAAUAUGCGUCUAAGCUAGGAGAUGAUAUUUGGAUCAUAUAUGAACAGGUGAUGAUUGCGGCCCUCGACUAUGGUCGGGAUGACCUGUCAUUGUUUUGUCUUCAAGAGUUGAGAAGACAGUUCCCUGGCAGUCACAGAGUCAAGCGACUAACUGGCAUGAGAUUUGAAGCCAUGGAGAGAUAUGAUGAUGCUAUACAGCUAUAUGAUCGAAUUUUACAAGAAGAUCCAACUAACACUGCUGCAAGAAAGCGUAAGAUUGCCAUUCGAAAAGCCCAGGGGAAAAAUGUGGAGGCCAUUCGGGAACUGAAUGAGUAUCUGGAACAAUUUGUUGGAGACCAAGAAGCCUGGCAUGAACUUGCAGAACUUUAUAUCAAUGAACAUGACUAUGCUAAAGCAGCCUUUUGUUUAGAGGAGCUUAUGAUGACUAAUCCACACAACCACUUAUACUGUCAGCAAUAUGCUGAAGUUAAAUAUACCCAAGGUGGACUUGAAAAUCUUGAACUUUCAAGAAAGUAUUUUGCGCAGGCAUUGAAACUGAACAACAGAAAUAUGAGAGCUUUGUUUGGACUUUACAUGUCUGCAAGUCAUAUUGCUUCUAAUCCAAAAGCAAGUGCAAAAACAAAAAAGGACAACAUGAAGUAUGCUAGUUGGGCAGCUAGUCAAAUAAACAGAGCUUAUCAGUUUGCAGGUCGAAGUAAGAAGGAAACCAAAUACUCUCUCAAGGCAGUCGAAGACAUGCUGGAAACACUGCAGAUCACCCAGUCUUAAGGUUGAAGAACUCCUUUCAGCAUUUCUUAUAAGGCAAGUCCAGUGGUGAUCAACUCCCUCAGCUGUUGUUUGUUAGGAAAGUGUUUAUCUCACCUUCAUUUCUGAUGGACAGCUUUGCCAGAUGAGGAAACUGGAAGCUGAGACUUUGAGGAAAUCUCCUAAGUUUACAAAUGAAUAUUACUUAGAGCUCACAUUCAAACUCAGCUUGUGGGGUUUUAGUUCCUCAACCAGGGAUCAAACCCAGACCCCUUGGAAGUGAAAGUGUGGAGUCCUAACCACUGGACCACCAGGGAAUUCCCUG